GGGACUAUAGUCCAGUGGUCAGCACGCUUGACUGCCAAACCAGACAGGGGAGGGACCUGGGUUCAAAUCCCAGGUGUAACC